rnacentral:lncRNA from 1 species
AGGGCCAAAAUAUGUUGUAGACUCGUUGUCAUUAUGAUCUUGAUUCACGUCCCUUAGUCUCCAAGAUCUGUUGAAGCUUCAGAGUUCAACAUUUUCUUGUCGAAGGGUUGAAAUCUCUUGAGCGUGUUGGCGACGCAUCUCGAAAAGUUGUUCUUGCAACUGCCACACAAACGAGGACAAAUUGGUCUCAACAUGUACUUCAUCAUCGUUAUCUUGUUGCUGCGUU